rfam:Gossypium hirsutum cultivar TM-1 chromosome 7, whole genome shotgun sequence
UAUUAAAAGAUUCAUUCAUUUCUACUAUUAAAAACUAGUAUGGUUGACAGAAUAAUCAAACUGUGGCACGUGACGUGCCAUGUGUACCUUAUGUUGACAUACAGAAACCAUUUUUUAACCGUAGAAAUAGAUGAAAAUUUUAACA